rnacentral:lncRNA from 1 species
AUGUCAACGGUGACCCAACUCAACGCCCUUGGUGGUCCAGAGUCAGAGAGUCGGAAAAUUGUUCAGAGCUUUGCAGAGGUACUUGGUGACAAGUACCACUACGAGAAUGCCAUCGACAGCUCUCUGCUCUGGACUGUUGGGUACACCCCCUACAUUCCCCCAGCUCUGAAAGGAAGAAGCUUCCCUUCUGUCGAGAGCUUCUUCCUGGAUGAGUGGGAGCCACUGACACUCCUGCAGACUUCUCAGGUUCUGUCCACCAGUGUUUCCAUCGAGGAAGACAACCGGAUCCAGUCUGCUGCAGGCCUAGUGUCUCAGCUUCUGUCUACCAGUGUUUCCAUCGUGGAGAAUGACCUGAUCCAGUCUGCUGCAGGCCUAGUGUCUCAGGUUCUGUCCACCAGUGUUUCCAUCGUGGAGAAUGACCUGAUCCAGUCUGCUGCAGUCCUAGUGUCUCAGGUUCUGUCCACCAGUGUUGCCAUCGUGGAGAAUGACCUGAUUCAGUCUGCUGCAGGCCUAGUGUCUCAGGUUCUGUCCACCAGUGUUUCCAUCGUGGAGAAUGACCUGAUCCAGUCUGCUGCAGUCCUAGUGUCUCAGGUUCUGUCCACCAGUGUUUCCAUCGAGGAAGACAACCUGAUCCAGUCUGCUGCAGGCCUAGUGUCUCAGGUUCUGUCCACCAGUGUUACCAUCAUGGAGAAUGACCUGAUCCAGUCUGCUGCAGUCCUAGUGUCUCAGGUUCUGUCCACCAGUGUUGCCAUCGUGGAGAAUGACCUGAUCCAGUCUGCUGCAGGCCUAGUGUCUCAGGUUCUGUCCACCAGUGUUUCCAUCGAGGAAGACAACCGGAUCCAGUCUGCUGCAGGCCUAGUGUCUCAGCUUCUGUCUACCAGUGUUACCAUCGUGGAGAAUGACCUGAUCCAGUCUGCUGCAGGCCUAGUGUCUCAGGUUCUGUCUACCAGUGUUUCCAUCGUGGAGAAUGACCUGAUCCAGUCUGCUGCAGUCCUAGUGUCUCAGGUUCUGUCCACCAGUGUUUCCAUCGUGGAGAAUGACCUGAUUCAGUCUGCUGCAGGCCUAGUGUCUCAGGUUCUGUCCACCAGUGUUUCCAUCGUGGAGAAUGACCUGAUCCAGUCUGCUGCAGUCCUAGUGUCUCAGGUUCUGUCCACCAGUGUUUUCAUCGAGGAAGACAACCUGAUCCAGUCUGCUGCAGGCCUAGUGUCUCAGGUUCUGUCCACCAGUGUUACCAUCAUGGAGAAUGACCUGAUCCAGUCUGCUGCAGUCCUAGUGUCUCAGGUUCUGUCCACCAGUGUUACCAUCAUGGAGAAUGACCUGAUCCAGUCUGCUGCAGGCCUAGUGUCUCAGGUUAUGUCCACCAGUGUUUCCAUCGUGGAGAAUGACCUGAUCCAGUCUGCUGCAGUCCUAGUGUCUCAGGUUCUGUCCACCAGUGUUGCCAUCGUGGAGAAUGACCUGAUCCAGUCUGCUGCAGGCCUAGUGUCUCAGGUUCUGUCCACCAGUGUUACCAUCGUGGAGAAUGACCUGAUCCAGUCUGCUGCAGGCCUAGUGUCUCAGGUUCUGUCCACCAGUGUUUCCAUCGAGGAAGACAACCUGAUCCAGUCUGCUGCAGGCCUAGUGUCUCAGGUUCUGUCCACCAGUGUUACCAUCGUGGAGAAUGACCUGAUCCAGUCUGCUGCAGGCCUAGUGUCUCAGGUUCUGUCCAGCAGUGACGCUAGAGUGAAGGAUCGUGAUGAUUCCACACUGAGAGACUCCAACCAACCUGAGGUCCAUGUGGCUGAUGUCUCAACCAAGAGAAGUAGACUAGUCAUCACUAUUUCUAUGUUUUCAACCGAGAGUUGCAAUGCUUCGGUCCAUGAGGUUGAUGCUAUUGCUACCAGCCUGGAGCACUCUGCUGAGAAAAUGUCUACCUCUACCGCUGAUGGCCACAUUGUUUCAUCCACUGCUGUAGCCAAUCAGAAGGAAACAAGGGGCGGAUUCGUCUCAUCUCUACGGAGACUGUUCACAAGAAAGAACAGGAUGCCUGCUAAAGUGGCUUCCAAGAAGGAGCACAUUCACUUGGUUGACCGCCUCAAUGCUGAAGUCACCCACUGAGGGCACUCACUCACUGCUGAAGGCAUCCAGAAUGAUGCUUCUGUUUCUCCUCAACGCCACCUACACCCCUGCCCCUCUCCCCCACACCAAACCCUACCAGGGUUGGGGUGAAUUCCAGAUAUAUUCAGUCAAUUCAGCAAGUCAACUAAAAUUCCAAUUCCAAUUGUUUCUCAUAGGAGGCAAUGAGGUAAAUUUGAAUUGCUAUUGGAAUUUCAGUUUACUUACUGAAUUGACUGAAUUGAAAAUGAAUUGACCCCAACCCUGAUCCCUAAGCCCCCACCCCAUCCAUUUCUAUCUUCAGUAAACUUUGUAGAAUUUUAUUUGAAUGUGUUUUGGAUCUUCAUUAAAACCCACAAUACAUCUCUAAUGAGGGUCACUCAUGUUACACAUCUAGAUUUAUCAUCAAAUAUCGUAGAAUUCAACAACAAAUGCAGUGGUUUAGCAGUUCAACUUCAGUACUUGUCAAUGAGUAACUGCACUGUGACCUUCAGAAACAUGUAACAUUGUGGAAAAACUGAAAACUUUUGCUGACAUUUGGUUACAAUGUAACUACACUGAACAAAAAUAUUAGCGCAACAUGUAAAGUAUUGGUCCCAUGUUUCAUGAGCUGAAAUAAAAUCCCAGAAGUGUUCCAUAUGUACAAAAAGGUUAUUUCUCUGAAAUGUUGUGUUUACAUC